GUCUUUUUGAUAAAUAAUUUAAAGUCUAAUCUGCCCCCUGAAAUUAUUUUAAAGGGCUGCGGUAUUUAACCGUACAAAGGUAGCAUAAUAAUUAGGUUUUUAAUUGAAAUCUAGAAUGAAUGAUUGGACGAGAUAUAGGCUGUUUUAAAAUAAUUAAUUAAAAUUUAAUUUUUUAGUCAAAAAGCUAAAAUUUUAUUAAAAGACGAGAAGACCCUAUAAAUCUUUAUAAUAAAUUUAUUUUUAUAGAUUAUUUUAUUUAAAUUAGUUAUUUAAAUAUAUAAAUUAUUUUAUUGGGGUGAUAUAAAAAUUUAAUAAACUUUUUAAAAUUUAUUACUUAAAUUAAAGAUUUUUAAAUAGUGAUCUAUUAUUAAUAAUUCAAAGAAUAAGAUACUUUAGGGAUAACAGCGUAAUUUUAAUUUUAAGUUCUUAUUAAAAUUAAAGAUUGCGACCUCGAUGUUGGAUUAAAAUUUAAUUUAAAUGCAAAGGUAAAAAUUAAGUCUGUUCGACUUUUGAAAUUUU
rnacentral:rRNA from 1 species